rnacentral:rRNA from 1 species
AACGACGCCGGCGGCGUGCCUAACACAUGCAAGUCGAGCGAGAAAGUCCCUUCGGGGGCGAGUAAAGCGGCGGACGGGUGAGUAAUACAUGGAUAAUCUUCCCUCGAGCCUGGGAUAACCCUGCGAAAGUGGGGCUAAUACCGGAUAAGACCACAUGACACAUGUCACGGGGUAGAAGGUGGCUUGUAUUUAUAUGAGCUAUCACUUGAGGAUGAGUCCAUGGCCUAUCAGCUAGUUGGUGAGGUAAGAGCUUACCAAGGCUAUGACGGGUAGCUGGUCUGAGAGGACGACUAGCCACACUGGGACUGAGACACGGCCCAGACUCCUACGGGAGGCAGCAGUGGGGAAUAUUGGGCAAUGGGCGAAAGCCUGACCCAGCGACGCCGCGUGGGUGAUGAAGGCCUUCGGGUUGUAAAACCCUUUCGUGCGGAAAGAAUAGUCCUGUAGCGAAUAACUACGGGAUUUGACGGUACCGCAGGAAGAAGCACCGGCUAACUCCGUG